rnacentral:rRNA from 1 species
UGACGUCAAGUCCUCAUGGCCUUUAUGACCAGGGCUACACACGUACUACAAUGGCCGGUACAAAGGGCAGCGACACAGCGAGUGUGAAAGCCGAAUCCCGAAAAGCCGGUCUCAGUCCGGAUUGGAGUCUGCAACUCGACUCCAUGAAGUUGGAAUCGCUAGUAAUCGCGGAUCAGCAUGCCGCGGUGAAUUACCGGUUCCCGGGCCUU